GCGCCACCACCGCCCGGCUGAUCAUAUUUUUUACAAAAAUAUUUUAAAGUUCAAUUGUGCAUUCAAAUGUAAUUUGUUACCUUAGGUUUUGAACCAACUCAAGGUAUUUUUUUUUCCUGAGGAAAAUGAAUAAAAAUAAUUAGUUGCCUCAGGCUUCAAAAAUAACCCUACACUUUAGUAAUUCUACUUAAAGGGAUUUGGAUUACAGAGGUCUUUUGACACACCACGAAGAUGUGUGUUCAAAGAUGUUCAUACAAAAUUAGUUGUACUAUUGAUUGUUAAUCCACUGGUCAAGAAUAAGACCACUGCCACAAUUUAAAGUCAAAUUUGAAGCAAGCUUUAAUUAAAUACUGACCAGGUAGAUGGGCUCUGGCUAGGUCUAUACCCAGGUUUCCAGGAAAUGGCCCUGAAUCACAGUUUACAGGGGCUUAAAUAUUUUCCAUCAGGUCCAAUCAGGGGCAAGCAUACAUCCUGAUGUACCUCUAGCCUACAUCCAAUCAGGGGCAAGCAUACACCCUAACAUAUUCCCUGUCUGUGAACCUCCCACCUAUAUGUGAUCAAGCACAUCAGUGCAGAUGGGUCAAACAAACUUGUUUAGGGAAGUGAAAGCAUGUGGCUUGUUAUCUCCCAUAAACAACAGCCUCCAGCAUUUCAGGACCUAUCUGUCCUUGAGCAAGAGGCUUGUAGAUCAGAGAUAUUUCUGGUUUGUGGAUCUCUAAGACAUAGUCAUUAAAACUUAAAUGUAACUUUGGCUCUCACAGAUAACAUAUAUAUUAUGAAUAUACCACAUGAACUAAUGUUUAGAUAAAUUUUGGCAUUAUCUCAAGGCAAUGGAAUUUCUUCAACCAUUAAUUAUUUUUUCAAAUAAAGUCAAAUAAUAUGAGAAAGUGCCUCUUGUAAAAUAGUAACUAAAAUAGGGUCUAAAAUCAGUCCUAGACAUUCAAAUCUCAAUUAAAUCUUAAAAUUAGAUGUACAGAUGAAUGUAUUUACACAUAAAAAUGAAAAUGAGCCAGAUUUCCAAAUUAGUUCUGGGUAAGGAUGAUUUUCUUUUCUUUGUUCAUUUCAUUUUUCUGUAUUUUCUGAACAUUCUUUCAUGAAUAUUCACCAUUUGCAUAGGACUAAUAUCUGUUAUUCAAACAGAAUCCUGUUUUAGCAUUCCAAUCUCUGUGUUUGUAUGUGAUUCUUAGGUCAGCGCUGGAAAAAAGCAGCAGGGUAUACGACUGUAUUAUGCAUCAGAGACUACUUACAUGGACCCUUGUAGCUACGCAGAUACACUGUGAGAAUCAGCUUGCCAAUCCCAGAAAGGAGUGAUUUGUCUUAGGUUCUAUGUUGUGAAAGAAUUACCCUACACUAAGCAAUGACCGGGGCCAGAGACCAGAGAGAGGAGACCAGGAAAGCAAGGGCCAGCUAGAAAGGCCUACAGGACCAAUGUCUAGUGCAUGUUGUCCUUGUGUUCUGUGGCAAGUCCUGGAAAGUGGCCAAGAGAGAUAGUGUUUUCUUGGGCUCCCCCUCUCACCUCUCUCUCUUUCCCCUCUCUGUCUCCCCCUCUCCCCCCAUCUUUCUCUUCCUUCCUUUAUCUUCCAUUCUUUCCCUCACAAUCCCGCUCCCUCAUUCUCUCCCUCCUCUCUCAUUAUGCAUCUUUUCCUCUAAUAUAUGCCCCAUCCUUGCCCUUCCCUAUGUGUGGAUGCAUAUGCAGAGAAGCUAAAGGCAACAAGUCAGCCAAGGACUAUCUUAAGUUGGACUUCUGGUCCAGAAGUCCUUAAGACUAGCCCGGCACAAAGAUGACAAGAUGUCUCAUAAAUCACACUGGUAAAGUGCUGUAAAAACCGGGUAGCACAAAGCAAAAGCUGUGGCAAGCUGUGGCAAGCUUCGGUUCAGCUGCUUUUUUUUUUUUUUUUUUUUUUUUUU